AGAUUCCCCUAGUAGCGGCGAGCGAACGGGGAACAGCCCAAACCGCGGCAGUGUAAGGCCGCAGCCGUUGCUGUUGCGGGGUUGUGGGACGAUGGUGGGGGCCGCUGCGGAGGCCCCGGGGAGUUACAAAGGCCUUCUCUAGCCGAACGGCCAGCAAAGUCACUGGAAAGGGCGACCGGAGAGGGUGAAAGUCCCGUAGGCGAAAGGGAAGACCCUCCCUGGCCAUCGUUCCCGAGUAGCGUCGGACACGUGGAAUCCGGCGCGAAGCUGGGGGGACCACCCUCCAAGGCUAAAUACUCCCGGCUGACCGAUAGUGCACCAGUACCGUGAGGGAAAGGUGAAAAGCACCCCGGGAGGGGAGUGAAAUAGAACGUGAAACCGUCCGCCUACAGUGCAGUGGGAGCCCUGUUCGCCUUGGCCUUCGGGCCCUGGCGGAGGGGUGACCGCGUGCCUUUUGCAGUAUGAGCCGGCGAGUUACGCUCCGUGGCGAGGUUAAGCCCCUUUGGGGCGGAGCCGUAGCGAAAGCGAGUCCGAACAGGGCGCAAAAUAGGGGUCCCCAAAAAUCCCUGAUUUUUGGGGCUCCUAAGUCACGGGGUGUAGACCCGAAGCCAGGUGAUCUACCCAUGGGCAGGGUGAAGUGCGUCUAAACGCGCACGAAGGCCCGAACCCGUUGGCUGUGCAACGCCAUGGGAUGACCUGUGGGUAGCGGUGAAAAGCCAAUCGCACCUGGUGAUAUCUGGCUCUCCCCGAAAUGGCUCUAGGGUCAGCCUCACGUGAUAGGCGGCCGGGGGUAGAGCACUGGCUGGGGAAGGGGGGAAACUCCCGACUCCAAUCAAACUCCGAAUACCGGCCUGCCGUUUCGUGGGAGUGAGACUGUGGGUGAUAACGUCCAUAGUCGAGAGGGAAACAACCCAGACCGCCAGCUAAGGCCCCCAAAUCCAGGCUAAGUGGGAAAGGCGGUGUGGUUGCUGAAACAGCUGGGAGGUUGGCUUAGAAGCAGCCAUCCUUUAAAGAGUGCGUAAUAGCUCACCAGUCUAGCGACCGCGCGCCGAAAAUGUAACGGGGCUAAGCCUGGUGCCGAAGCUGCGGGGCGUCCGCAGUGCGGACGUCGGUAGGGGAGCGUUCCCAGCGGGGCGAAGCCGAGCCGCAAGGCCCGGUGGACUGCUGGGAAGUGAGAAUGCCGGCAUGAGUAGCGUAAGACGGGUGAGAAUCCCGUCCACCGAAUGCCCAAGGUUUCCUGGGGAAGGCUGAUCCACCCAGGGUUAGGCGGGCCUAAGCCGAACCCGAAAGGGGGUAGGCGAUGGACAGCCGGUUAAUAUUCCGGCCCCUCCGGAUCCGCGUUAUGAGCGAAGGGGGGACGCCGCGCGAGCUUCUCCGCAGGCUCACGGCUAUGCCUGUCCAAGCACCAAGUCAGAGGGGGUAGGCAAAUCCGCCCCCUCGCAACCGCCCUGUCCUCGCCCUUCGGGGUGGGGGCGGGACGGCCAGGCGAGGUGUGAUGGCGAGCCCCGUAAAGGGGCGAAGGGAGACGGCUUGAGCGGCCGAGAAAAGCCUCUAGCCAGUGGGUCCGGAGCCCGUACCGCAAACCGACACAGGUGGGCGAGGUGAGUAUCCACAGGUGGACGAGCCAACUCCGGUCAAGGAACUCGGCAAAAUGGCCCCGUAACUUUGGGAGAAGGGGCGCCUUCCGGGUCGGUGGGGGAACCCAUCGGCUUGGCAGGCCGCAGAGAAUCGGCCCGGGCGACUGUUUACCAAAAACACAGGUCCCUGCCAACCCGAAAGGGGAUGUAUAGGGACUGAAACCUGGCCACUGCCGGUAGGUCAAGGGGAUGGGUGCAAGCCCUGAACUGAAGCCCCGGUGAAGGCCGGCCGUAACUAUAACGGUCCUAAGGUAGCGAAGUUCCUUGUCGGGUAAGUUCCGACCCGCAUGAAAGGUCCAACGACCUGGGCGCUGUCUUGACCGGAGGCUCGGUGAACUCGAGGCACGGGUGAAAACGCCCGUGACCCGCGGUGGGACAGAAAGACCCCGUGGAGCUUUACUGCAACCUGGUGUUGGGUCUUGGCAUCCGUUGUCUAGGAUAGGUGGGAGGCUGUGAAGCCCGGGCGCCAGCUCGGGUGGAGCCGUCCUUGGAAUACCACCCUUCGGCUGUUGAGGCUCUAACCGGAGGCCGUUAGCAGCGGUCUUGGGACAGCGCCAGGCGGGCAGUUUUGCUGGGGCGGCAGCCUCCUAAAGGGUAACGGAGGCGCACAAAGGUCCCCUCAGGCGGGUUAGCGAUCCGCCGUUGAGUGUAAGGGCAGAAGGGGGCUUGACUGCGAGGCCUACAAGCCGAGCAGAGGCGAAAGCCGGUCCUAGUGACCCACUGGCUCCGUGUGGAAGGGCCAGUGCUCAGCGGAUAAAAGUUACCCCGGGGAUAACAGGCUAGUCUCCCCCGAGAGUCCACAUCGACGGGGAGGAUCGGCACCUCGAUGUCGGCUCACCCCAUCCUGGGGCUGCACCAGGUCCCAAGGGUUGGGCUGUUCGCCCAUUAAAGGGGUUCAUGAGCUGGGUUCAGACCGUCGUGAGACAGGUCGGUCCCUAUCUACCGCGGGCGCAGGAGGCUUGAGGGGGUCCGCUCUCAGUACGAGAGGACCGGAGCGGCUGGGCCGCUGGUGUACCAGUUGUCCCGCCAGGGGCACCGCUGGGUAGCUAAGCCCAGACCGGAUAAGGGCUGAAGGCAUCUAAGCUCGAAGCCGACCCCAAGAUGAGGCCUCCCCAUCAGGGCCCUCCGAGACCAGGAGGUUGAUAGGCCGCAGGUGGAAGCCCGGUAACGGGUGGAGCCGAGCGGUACUAAUAGCCCGAUCGGCUUGCGUA
rnacentral:rRNA from 1 species